UACGUAGGGUGCGAGCGUUGUCCGGAAUUAUUGGGCGUAAAGAGCUCGUAGGCGGUCUGUCGCGUCGGCCGUGAAAACCUGCAGCUUAACUGUGGGCGUGCGGUCGAUACGGGCAUCACUGGAGUUCGGCAGGGGAGAUCGGAAUUCCUGGUGUAGCGGUGAAAUGCGUAGAUAUCCGGAGGAACACCGGUGGCGAAGGCGGCUUCCUGGACCGACACUGACGCUGAGGCGCGAAAGCCAGGGGAGCAAACGGG
rnacentral:rRNA from 1 species